AAAAUUUUAAAAAUGAACAUAUAUUAACCAAUUGGCAAAAAAUGUGUGGGUUCAACGUCCCGCAUCGACAAAAAUAUUUAGACAAUGAUUUAUAAACAUAUCAUAAAUAAGAUCAAUAUUAAUAUAAAUAAAAGUUUUUUUUACGGGACGGGUUUGACGGGACGGGUUUGGCAGGACGUUACUUAAUAACAAUUGUAAACUAUAAAAUAAAAAUAUAUUAUAGAUAUAUACAAUUUGCAAAAAAG
rnacentral:sRNA from 1 species